rnacentral:rRNA from 1 species
GAUGAACGCUGGCGGCGUGCCUAAUACAUGCAAGUCGAGCGAACGGACGAGAAGCUUGCUUCUCUGAUGUUAGCGGCGGACGGGUGAGUAACACGUGGAUAACCUACCUAUAAGACUGGGAUAACUUCGGGAAACCGGAGCUAAUACCGGAUAAUAUUUUGAACCGCAUGGUUCAAAAGUGAAAGACGGUCUUGCUGUCACCUAUAGAUGGAUCCGCGCUGCAUUAGCUAGUUGGUAAGGUAACGGCUUACCAAGGCAACGAUGCAUAGCCGACCUGAGAGGGUGAUCGGCCACACUGGAACUGAGACACGGUCCAGACUCCUACGGGAGGCAGCAGUAGGGAAUCUUCCGCAAUGGGCGAAAGCCUGACGGAGCAACGCCGCGUGAGUGAUGAAGGUCUUCGGAUCGUAAAACUCUGUUAUUAGGGAAGAACAUAUGUGUAAGUAACUGUGCACAUCUUGACGGUACCUAAUCAGGAAGCCACGGCUAACUACGUG